ACAAAGGGUUAUUUAUGUCUUUUAGUCUCUUUUAACAAAACUAAAUAAAAGAGAUACACUUUGUGGACUACUUAAAAAGACCUAAAAUAUGAAAAUAAAAAAAAUGGAUAGGCUUAAAGCCCAAAAACAGAAAAGAGGGCAGCAAAGUUGCACGAAGGAAAAAGAAAAGAAGAAAAGAACAUGGGGAUUAGGGGGAUUUGGGACUUCUGCGUAGCAAAAAUAAAUAAAUAAGAAGAACUGAAUAGGGGUCGAGGUGCUCGAGAUCAUGUUGCUGGAAAUCAAGGACAGAAAAAUGGUGGUAGAGGCCAGGCAAGAGUUUUUGCACUCACUCGGCAGGAUGCUUAGGUUUCAGAUGCAGUAGUUACAGAGAAUUUAGGUGGCAUUGGUGAGGAUUCCAUCAACUAGAGAGCGUGAACUGAUAGUAUAUGAGACAGGUUUAAGAGAUCGUCAAUAGGCGCACCAUUGAGGAUUUAUUCACACUCAGCUUAUUGGUGAGUCCUUCCCUAUAUUCGGAGGACACCACUUAUGUUAUUCUUGCGUUGAGUUUAGUCUUUUUCAUUUUGAGGUAGCCAUGAACAUGUCAUUGACACCAAUUAGAUAGUAGUGAUAGAGGCUUCAUAGACUAGAUAGUGAUGGAUCGAUUGAGUAUUUUAUUUCCUUGAAUUGUUCUUGUCGGACUAAUUAAUGACAUAGAUUGGAGCUUGAUUUGUUGGCUCAUGGUCUUUCUUCCUUGAGCUAGAUUGUUGAUUUGAGUUG